ACUGCAAUUCGUUAAUCCCUUUGGAAAAUUGCUUAAGCCUGGCAUGUUUUGUAAUGAACUUUAUCUCUUCACUACCAAAAGUCGUAAAAAGGAACUUCAGUGAGGAAAGAAACACAAUUGAUAAUUGAAUAUUUCAAAGAGAUCAGCAUUUUAGAAAACUGGACGGAAUCUCACUCUCACCAGGCUGGAGUGCAGCGAGCAAUCUCGGCUCACUGCAGCCUCUGCCUCCUGGGUUCAAGCAAUUCUCCUGCCUCAGCCUCCCGAGUAGCUGGGAUUACAGCUUUUUGGAUUGGCUCACAGUUUUCCUACUUUUCUGUCCUGUCAGUUGAGAAGAAUACAUUUCAAGAGAUGCUCUUGGAAAACACGUUUGAUGGAGAGGUUGAUUUUUGUAACCUGUAUGCCGUAGUCAGAAGAGCCGUCCUCUGGCAGAUAUGUGAAAGAACUGCCUAUGAGGAGCGAGAGGCUACUUCGCACACCUCGCAGCUCAGGUCCCCGGAGACGGCUUUACAGGCACACAAGCCCCUCUCCCAAGCCAUCUGCCAGGAGCCCCAUGAGGAACACAGCACAGCGCCUGCAUCAGAAGCCCAUGGGUUUGCCUAUCACAUGUCUUGUUUUCUCCUGAUCCGUGGCUCACAGGCUCAGUGUGACCCAACCUCCUAGAUUUCCCCAUCAGUGCUAUUUGCAGUGCCCCCAAGCACUUUCCUCCACUCCAGUCCCUGAGCGCAUGCCAACGGCCCUAUUUUCAGCCACCCCUCUCCAUGCCUCUUGUCUGUCUCUAGCUGACAAGCAGAUUAUCUCUUCUGUCCACUUUGUUUGCCAAUGUACUUUGGCACCAUUGAAUUCCAACACAUGAAGUAAACUGAACUGUGUACAACGCUGAGCACACACGUGGUUUGGAGAGCAGCCCCUUGUCAGGAUCCAAAAUGUUCCCAAGCCUUGUUGAUAUUUGGGUCACUGCAGAUCUCUGAGUCCCCCUUCCUUUUUAAUCUUCUUCCCCUCAACUCAUUCUCAAUUUCUCUCUCUGAAACCACCUGUGAACACACUUAUGCAUUCAAAUAGAUGCAUACUGUUCAUGCUUAUAUUUUUCUGUAACCGUCAUAUCUAAUAAAUACUUAUCAUCCAGGAAAAAAA
rnacentral:lncRNA from 1 species